rnacentral:rRNA from 1 species
GAUGAACGCUAGCUACAGGCUUAACAAAGGCAAGUCGAGGGACCGGCGCACGGGUGAGUAACACGUAUCCAACCUGCCCUUUACUCGGGGAUAGCCUUUCGAAAGAAAGAUUAAUACCCGAUAUAAAGGAUGGGGAUGCGUUCCAUUAGGUUGUUGGGGAGGUAACGGCUCACAAAGCCUUCGAUGGAUAGGGGUUCUGAGAGGAAGAUCCCCCACAUUGGAACUGAGACACGGUCCAAACUCCUACGGGAGGCAGCAGUGAGGAAUAUUGGUCAAUGGACGGAAGUCUGAACCAGCCAAGUAGCGUGCAGGAUGACGGCCUAUGGGUUGUAAACUGCUUUUGUAUGGGGAUAGGUACCAUACGAAUAAGGACCGGCUAAUUCCGUGCCAGCAGCCGCGGUAAUAC